GCAGUCGUGGCCGAGUGGUUAAGGCGAUGGACUCGAAAUCCGUUGGGGUCUCCCGCGCAGGUUCGAAACCUGCCGUCUGCG
rnacentral:tRNA from 1 species